UACAGAGGGGGCAAGCGUUGUUCGGAAUUACUGGGCGUAAAGGGCGCGUAGGCGGCGCAACAAGUCACUUGUGAAAUCUCCGGGCUUAACCCGGAGCGGCCAAGUGAUACUGUCGUGCUAGAGUGCGGAAGGGGCUACUGGAAUUCUCGGUGUAGCGGUGAAAUGCGUAGAUAUCAAGAGGAACACCUGCGGCGAAGGCGGGUUGCUGGGCCGACACUGACGCUGAAGCGCGAAAGCCAGGGGAGCGAACGGG
rnacentral:rRNA from 1 species